GGAGCACAGCCAGGCCGAGACCCGGACCGACUGGGCGUCGGAGGCGCCGACAGUGGAAUGGAACAGCACAACAAGGAGAGCUUUGUUAGGUACCUGAAUGAUAGACGUUCUGCAGCCUCUUAUGUUGAAAGCACCAUUGAAAACUUAUGUUGAAGCACCUCUGUUGAAAUUUUCCAAAAGGAAGAAUGUAACACUGCUCUGAAUGUGAAAGAAAUGCCUGGGAAUCAGUUUCUCACCUGUUCAACUGGUCACAAAGUCAGAUGUGGCUAGCAUAUCAGAUGCGGGGAGCUCACUCCCCGUUACUAUGCGCUGAAGCCACCCGCCUCUGGAAUUUGUGCAUCCAACAUGCUAUCACCCUGAAGGCUUCAUACUUACCCGGAAUAAACAAUGUUUGGGCAGAAACCCUGAGUCAAGAUUUCAACUGCGAUUAUGAAUGGGAAUUACACCUGGCCAUAAUCACCUCUAUCUUCCACCAAUGGGGGGCGGGGGUCCCAACUACAGACCUCUUUGCGACUCCAGCCAAUACCAAGUGUUCCUGCUUUUGCUUGAGAGACGAUCUAGGCAGAGGAUCUCAUGGUGACGCCUUCCUCAUCCACUGGGAUGAACCACUACACCAGGGGUUCUCAAAGUUUUUGACACAGGGACCAGUAAAUCCAUUCAUGAGCUUUUGGAGGACCGGUAACAUCUUCUCACUUGUUCACUUCCAACGCACCACAGUCGAAGGGUGCACCUAUUUCUAUGCAAUACAUUUCCAAGUGGGUCUCAUUGUGCAUACUGCGUUGUCAUGCACUCCACAAGAAGCCCUUGCCAACUCCAUCAAGGGCACACAUGGCCUGUGCAGCUAUCACCUCAACAGCCUUCCUCACCAACGUACCACUCAAAGACAUCUACAAGGCAGCCACAUGAUCCUCAGACCAUACCCUUGCUAGAGAUUAUGCCACAAAUGUCUGCCAAUUCAGCACUGGCAACAGCAGUGCUAUCUACAGCCUCUAAGCAGUGACUUUGAUUCCCACCAUCCUAUCAGAUACUGCUUGCCGGUUCCCUGACAUGGAGCACCCACAGGGACAUCAUCCAAAGAAGAAAAAGGGAGUUUCUCACCUUGUGCAGUAAUGA